rnacentral:lncRNA from 13 species
CUUACACUUCUUUAUGUUCUUCGUGCUUGUCUGUAUUUUCUAUAAUAUGCAUUUUGUAAGUUAAAAGAAGCACAACCAAAAGACAAAAGUAUAAAAAAAAGUCUGGAAUUUUUCAAAUUGGGGUCCUCCUCACUUCUUUUUAAGCAUUUCUAAUUUGUUUUCAACCUGCUAGGCUCAGCUUUAUUGGCAAUGUUUUUUUAUUUUGAAAAUUAGUUGUAAAUGAACGUUUCCAACCAACGCCUCGUGUGAUUUUUUUUUUUUUAACCAAUUCAUCAUCUUGGCCAAACAAUCUGGACCAAAUCAAGCAGGGGGAUGUGAGGAGGGACAUGGAGGGCAGGUAAGAGAGAGAAUAGGUGGGGAAAAAGAGAUGGAGUGAGGCAAGAUAAGGCAAAGACCCGAGAGGUGAGAUGGAGUGGGAAGAAGAGAGCAAGCGAGAACGCAGAGACCGUGCAACAAACCAGAGAAGCAGGAUGAGGAGGAGGGGCAUUCACCAAGCACUCAUCCAGCCCUUCCCAUGGACCAAGCGCCAGGUGAAUGGGGCCAGGACGCUUGCCUUCGCAGGAAAAGGGGAGGAAAAUGCUGUGAAGCUAAGAAGAGGACCUGCCCCCUGAAAAACUGAGCUGGAGAUACCUGCUCCUUCUCCCCCUGCCCAGUUCUCACUGACCCUUUCUGCUGCACAUGGCCCAGGGAGGAUGCGAUAGAAGCAGGACGAGGGCACAGCGGCCACCUCCUCAUCCUGCCCAGAGGCGCCCUGGCCAGCAGCUUGUGACAGAUGGCAGUGCUUUGAAUGACUACUUCAAUUUUAACUCUUUUCGAUAAUCCAGCACCCAAAAGCCACAUACUUUAAAACUGUCCCUGGAUCAUAGAUCAGCCCAAAGAGACUAAGUCCAGCUCAGUUAAUAACCUCUGGAAACACCAUCAAUCACUGGGGGAGCCCCUCCUUAGGGUUCUCCAUACCAACUCCUGGCAGAGAUGAAUGAAAGGGCCACUAUGCUUGGCAGUGGCUCUGCCUCUUGGGCUGUUUGCAUCUCACCUUCUUGCUCUAGAACUGGGACUUUUUGGUGCUGACUCCAGGGUGGAGAUAGGAGUCAGGCUGGUGGGCAGAAGCAACUGAGUGACUGUGGCUUGGAGAGAGGAGGUUGAUGUCUCUCCCUGCCCUGCUCAAAGAACCCCCCUCCCCUGCUUCUUCCUGACCUCUUGUGGUCUGAUGGACUCUGUGGCCUCAGGUGGACUGGCCAUAACCCCAGAUGGCCUCAGCCUCUCCUGCAGGAACCCCUCUAAGGGUUUGCACCUGGGGAGCCAUCAUACCGGAGUCACGUGGGGAACACAGCAUGCUUGAGCAAUACCUGCCUCCUGUUGAGUGGGAGCUGCCACCUGCUGACAGCCAUGCUUUGGACAAUUUUGUUCUGAAGAGGCUGGGCCCUCCCUUGGAAGCUGGCUGACCAGAAACUACAUCCUCUCUGAUGGCAACACUCUGAUGCCUAUGAGUUCCUCCCUCUGCUGGCUCUCAUGCCCAGCCCUGCUGCCUGACACUUAAGUACCCUGUCCACACACCCAGCUGCCUAGUCUGUCACCCACUGCUUCUCCUGCCAGUCUUCCCUGCACACCCUG